CUUGUGACGGCGUACCUUUUGUAUAAUGGGUCAUCGACUUGGUCUAUCUAGCAAGCUUAAGCCGUUAGGUGUAGGCGCAGCGAAAGCGAGUCUUAAUAGGGCGUUGAGUUAGAUGGAUCAGACCCGAAACCGAGUGAUCUAGGCAUGACCAGGAUGAAGGUAAGGUAACACUUGCUGGAGGUCCGAACCCACACCUGUUGAAAAAGGUCGGGAUGAGUUGUGCCUAGGGGUGAAAGGCCAAUCAAACUCGGAGAUAGCUGGUUCUCCGCGAAAUCUAUUUAGGUAGAGCGUCAUCCGAAUACCCCGGGGGGUAGAGCACUGGAUGGGUAAUGGGGCCCCACAGGCUUACUGAUCCUAACCAAACUCCGAAUACCCGGGAGUACUAGAUGGCAGACACACGGCGGAUGCUAACGUCCGUCGUGGAGAGGGAAACAACCCUGACCUACAGCUAAGGCCCCCAAUUCGUGGCUAAGUGGGAAAGCAGGUGGGACGACCAAAACAACCAGGAGGUUGGCUUAGAAGCAGCCAUCCUUUAAAGAUAGCGUAACAGCUCACUGGUCUAAUCAAGUUGUCCUGCGGCGAAGAUGUAACGGGGCUCAAGCCACGAGCCGAAGCUUAGGAUGCCGCAAGGCAUGGUAGCGGAGCGUAGUGUGACAUAGAACUCGCCCUCUUCUGCAUCCUCCGGGAUGUAAUGGAGGGCAGGGUUCUUUCUGUGAAGCCCGGGCGUGAGCCAUCGGGUGGAGAGAUCACUAGCGAGAAUGAUGACAUGAGUAGCGACAAAGAGUGUGAGAGACACUCUCGCCGAAAGUCCAAGGGUUCCUGCUUAAAGCUAAUCUGAGCAGGGUAAGCCGGCCCCUAAGGCGAGGCCGAAAGGCGUAGUCGAUGGGAACCAGGUUAAUAUUCCUGGGCCAUGUGGUGGUGACGGAUCACGGAUGUAGUUCUUCCUUAUCGGAUUGGGAGGGCUGCUGAGUGGUCCCUGGAAAUAGCCCCACUUUAGGACCGUACCCUAAACCGACACAGGUGGACUGGUAGAGCAUACCAAGGCGCUUGAGAGAACGAUGUUGAAGGAACUCGGCAAAAUACCUCCGUAAGUUCGCGAGAAGGAGGCCCGGUUCCUAGGCAACUAGGGGCUGGGGGCACAAACCAGGGGGUGGCGACUGUUUACUAAAAACACAGGGCUCUGCGAAGUCGCAAGACGACGUAUAGGGUCUGACGCCUGCCCGGUGCCUGAAGGUUAAAAGGAGGGGUGAGAGCUCCGAAUUGAAGCCCAGGUAAACGGCGGCCGUAACUAUAACGGUCCUAAGGUAGCGAAAUUCCUUGUCGGGUAAGUUCCGACCUGCACGAAUGGCGUAACGACUUCCCCGCUGUCUCCAACAUCGACUCAGCGAAAUUGAAUUGCCUGUCAAGAUGCAGGCUUCCCGCGGUUAGACGGAAAGACCCCGUGCACCUUUACUACAGCUUCACACUGGCAUCAGGCACAACAUGUGCAGGAUAGGUGGUAGGCUUCGAAGCAGGGACGCCAGUUCCUGUGGAGCCUUCCUUGAGAUACCACCCUUGUUCUGCUUGAUGUCUAACCGCGGUCCGUUAUCCGGAUCCGGGACCCUGUGUGGCGGGUAGUUUGACUGGGGCGGUCGCCUCCUAAAGCGUAACGGAGGCGCGCGAAGGUUGGCUCAGAGCGGUCGGAAAUCGCUCGUUGAGUGCAAUGGCAGAAGCCAGCCUGACUGCAAGACUGACAAGUCGAGCAGAGUCGAAAGACGGCCAUAGUGAUCCGGUGGUCCCAAGUGGGAGGGCCAUCGCUCAACGGAUAAAAGGUACGCCGGGGAUAACAGGCUGAUACUGCCCAAGAGUCCAUAUCGACGGCAGUGUUUGGCACCUCGAUGUCGGCUCAUCUCAUCCUGGGGCUGGAGCAGGUCCCAAGGGUACGGCUGUUCGCCGUUUAAAGAGGUACGUGAGCUGGGUUUAGAACGUCGUGAGACAGUUCGGUCCCUAUCUGCCGUGGGUGUAGGAUACUUGAGAGGAGUUGCCCCUAGUACGAGAGGACCGGGGUGAACGAUCCACUGGUGGACCAGUUGUCGUGCCAACGGCAGUGCUGGGUAGCUAUGAUCGGACAGGAUAACCGCUGAAGGCAUCUAAGCGGGAAGCCCCCCUCAAAACAAGGUAUCCCUGAGGGCCGUGGAAGACCACCACGUCGAUAGGCCGGAGAUGUAAGCAUGGUAACAUGUUCAGUUGACCGGUACUAAUGGCCCGAUAGGCUUGAUUUG
rnacentral:rRNA from 1 species